AGUCUUGACUCUGGUCUAUUCUCUAUUAUAAACUAUUUAUAGACUUAAAAAAACUUGUCCAUCUUCCCGUCCGAAGGCUCUAUCUGAACGGCCCGUAACAAUAUUUACAAUGUGUUUUUUGUUUACGCUGAGAUGGCCAAGCUCCGAAUCGACUGGAUCGGAUGAUGAGGGAUCUUGCAAGGUGACGACGACCAUGGGAGUCUGGGAAGCUGAAGCAACUACCCCGAACGUCUCAGUGGGGACCGUCGUCACGGAUCCGGCAAACGUGCGUCUCGCCCUCGCAUUUCGUUUGCACGCACAUUUCGCAAUCUAUAACACGUAAACGACAGUGAAUCACCUGCAAGGUCGCGUUAAGCCAUCGUAAAACAUUAAAUUAUGUAUUGAAGUGCGACAGCUUAGAAGAAUAUAAAUGUCAGGAAAUUUA